rnacentral:rRNA from 1 species
UACAGAGGGGGCAAGCGUUAUUCGGAAUUAUUGGGCGUAAAGGGCGCGUAGGCGGCUUUUCAAGUGACGGGUGAAAUCCCUCGGCUUAACCGAGGAACUGCCUGUCAGACUGGAAGGCUUGAGACCGGGAGAGGUGAGUGGAAUUCCGAGUGUAGAGGUGAAAUUCGUAGAUAUUCGGAGGAACACCAGUGGCGAAGGCGGCUCACUGGCUCGGUACUGACGCUGAGGUGCGAAAGCGUGGGGAGCAAACAGG